rnacentral:rRNA from 1 species
UACAGAGACUGCAAGCGUUAUUCGGAUUCACUGGGCGUAAAGGGUGCGCAGGCGGCCGAUUGUGUCAGGUGUGAAAGCCUGGGGCUCAACCCCAGAAUUGCGCCUGAAACUGGUCGGCUAGAGUGCCGGAGAGGAUAGCGGAAUUCACGGUGUAGCAGUGAAAUGCGUAGAUAUCGUGAAGAACACCAGCGGCGAAGGCGGCUAUCUGGAAGGCAACUGACGCUCAGGCACGAAAGCGUGGGGAGCAAAAGGG